rnacentral:rRNA from 1 species
GAUGAACGCUGGCGGCGUGCCUAAUACAUGCAAGUCGAGCGAACAGACGAGGAGCUUGCUCCUCUGACGUUAGCGGCGGACGGGUGAGUAACACGUGGAUAACCUACCUAUAAGACUGGGAUAACUUCGGGAAACCGGAGCUAAUACCGGAUAAUAUAUUGAACCGCAUGGUUCAAUAGUGAAAGACGGUUUUGCUGUCACUUAUAGAUGGAUCCGCGCCGCAUUAGCUAGUUGGUAAGGUAACGGCUUACCAAGGCAACGAUGCGUAGCCGACCUGAGAGGGUGAUCGGCCACACUGGAACUGAGACACGGUCCAGAAUCCUACGGGAGGCAGCAGUAGGGAAUCUUCCGCAAUGGGCGAAAGCCUAACGGAGCAACGCCGCGUGAGUGAUGAAGGUCUUCGGAUCGUAAAACUCUGUUAUUAGGGAAGAACAAAUGUGUAAGUAACUAUGCACGUCUUGACGGUACCUAAUCAGAAAGCCACGGCUAACUACGUG